UCCGGAGGGGGCGAGCGUUAUUCGGAAUUAUUGGGCGUAAAGGGCGCGUAGGCGGCUUCUUAAGUCAAAGGUGAAAUCCCUCGGCUCAACUGAGGAACUGCCUUUGAAACUGGGGAGCUUGAGUCCGGGAGGGGGUAGCGGAAUUCCCAGUGUAGCGGUGAAAUGCGUAGAUAUUGGGAGGAACACCAGUGGCGAAGGCGGCUACCUGGACCGGAACUGACGCUGAUGCGCGAAAGCGUGGGUAGCAAACAGG
rnacentral:rRNA from 1 species